AGCCAGGGAGGGCCAGGGCUGGCGCCCAGGCCUGCCCAGGGGUCAGGCACAGGCCAGGUGUCAGAACAGGGGAGUGCAGCCACAGCCGUCAGUCAAGUUUCUCAGUCUGCUCUGAGCGCUGGAGUCUGGGCCCAAGGGCAUCUGAAGGGUACCGUACCCUGCCGCAUUAAGUAUGUUUCUCCUGGAUGCCAAGCAGUCUCUCCUGGGAGAUACUAACCAUCUGGCUGAAACAAACACUUUGACAGAACAUCUGGAUAUGCACUCUGCACAGUGUGAAGCAGCUGGAUCCCUGGCAGCAUCUGUGAGGACAUGAUGCUUGGAGGUUUGGCUGCCACCUUACAACCAAAAGGAAAAGAGACUUACUGGGAGCUGGAACCAGAGCCCAGACAUCAUGGAGCUAUUGAAUUAUCUGAUCCUGGAACUGCCUUCCUCUGGGCUUCUUAUUUUGAGCAAUAAUAAAUGCUCUUGUUAAACAUUGUAGCUGGCUUUUCUGUUACGUGGCCCAGUGGGACCUGACUGAUAUGUGAGAUGGCCCACAUGUUUUAUGUUCCCUCCCGUACUUUGAAGAAAACCAAAGAAGUUCCU